rnacentral:rRNA from 1 species
UACGAAGGGGGCUAGCGUUAUCCGGAAUCACUGGGCGUAAAGCGUGCGUAGGUGGCGCGUUAAGUGAGAUGUUAAAACGUGGGGCUCAACCCUGUCGGUGCAUCUCAUACUGGCGUGCUAGAGGACAGCAGAGGCAAGUGGAAUUUGUAGUGUAGCAGUGAAAUGCGUAGAUAUUACAAGGAACACCAAUGGCGAAGGCAGCUUGCUGGGCUACUCCUGACACUGAGGUACGAAAGCGUGGGGAGCGAACAGG